GCCGAAACCCAGCCGAGUCGACUAAGGGCUGACGCCAUGAUAAACAGCGUUUGGAUGCGGCAAGACAGCAAUGCGGAACCACGUUGAGGAUGCGACGAGAACAGCGCCACCCAGCGCCAAUAUAAUGGCACAGCAAAGCAGCCACCGUGGUAUCGGUGGUCGUGGCGAGCUGCAUCAGGAUCGAGGGAUGGGCAGGAUGCAACAGGAACAGCUUUCUGAUGACCGGCUCUGCUGCCACAACAGCCGGGGGGGCCACCUGUGUGUUUAAGACUCACAGUUGCCUUGGUGAUAUUUGUCCGUGCACCGAUUGGCUCGCUGGCCCAGAAGACAAAAGCCGAGAGGCCGGUCGAAGUGGAGACGGCUGCCGUUUCCAAAACAAGACGGGGGCACACGAACUGCGCCGUCC